UGGGGAAUUUUGGACAAUGGGCGAAAGCCUGAUCCAGCCAUGCCGCGUGAGUGAAGAAGGCCUUCGGGUUGUAAAGCUCUUUCGGCCGGAACGAAAUCGCUCGGGCUAAUACCCCGAGUGGAUGACGGUACCGGAAGAAGAAGCACCGGCUAACUACGUGCCAGCAGCCGCGGUAAUACGUAGGGUGCAGGCGUUAAUCGGAAUUACUGGGCGUAAAGCGUGCGCAGGCGGCUUCCUAAGUCAGAUGUGAAAUCCCCGGGCUUAACCUGGGAACUGCGUUUGAAACUGGGAGGCUAGAGUGCGGCAGAGGGGGGUGGAAUUCCACGUGUAGCAGUGAAAUGCGUAGAUAUGUGGAGGAACACCGAUGGCGAAGGCAGCCCCCUGGGCCAGCACUGACGCUCAUGCACGAAAGCGUGGGGAGCAAACAGG
rnacentral:rRNA from 1 species